rnacentral:rRNA from 1 species
UACGUAGGGGGCAAGCGUUGUCCGGAAUCACUGGGCGUAAAGCGUGUGUAGGCGGUUGCGUGUGUCUGGGGUGAAAGUCCCGGGCUCCACCCUGGGAUUUCCUUUGAAACUGCGCGACUUGAGUACUGGAGAGGCAAGGGGAAUUCCGCGUGUAGCGGUGGAAUGCGUAGAUAUGCGGAGGAAUACCAGUGGCGAAGGCGCCUUGCUGGACAGUGACUGACGCUGAGGCACGAAAGCGUGGAGAGCAAACAGG